GACGAACGCUGGCGGCGUGCUUAACACAUGCAAGUCGAACGGAGUGGCGAACGGGUGAUUAACAUGUGGGUGACCUGCCCUGCACUUCGGGAUAAGCCUGGGAAACUGGGUCUAAUACCGGAUAGUGUGGGAUGGGCCCGCGGCCUCUCAGCUUGUUGGUGGGGUAAUGGCCUACCAAGGCGGCGACGGGUAGCCGGCCUGAGAGGGUGGACGGCCACAAUGGGACGGAGACACGGACCAGACUCCUACGGGAGGCAGCAGUGGGGAAUAUUGCACAAUGAGCGGAAUGCUGUUGCAGCCAGGCCGCGUGGGGGAUAACGGACUGCGAGUUGUAGACUGCUUUCAGCAUCGACGCGGUGGAUGAAGCAGAAUCACCGGCUAUCUACGUGCCAGCAGCCGCGGUAAUAC
rnacentral:rRNA from 1 species